GACGAACGCUGGCGGCGUGCUUAACACAUGCAAGUCGAACGGAAAGGCCCUGCUUUUGUGGGGUGCUCGAGUGGCGAACGGGUGAGUAACACGUGAGUAACCUGCCCUUGACUUUGGGAUAACUUCAGGAAACUGGGGCUAAUACCGGAUAGGAGCUCCUGCUGCAUGGUGGGGGUUGGAAAGUUUCGGCGGUUGGGGAUGGACUCGCGGCUUAUCAGCUUGUUGGUGGGGUAGUGGCUUACCAAGGCUUUGACGGGUAGCCGGCCUGAGAGGGUGACCGGCCGCAGUGGGGCGGAGAUACGGCCGAGACUCCUACGGGAGGCAGCAGUGCGGGAUAUUGCACACUGGGCGGAAGCCUGAUGCAGCAACUCCGCGUGGUGGAUGACGGCCUUCGGGUUGUAAACCGCAUUCGCCUGUGACGAAGCGUGAGUGACGGUAAUGGGUAAAGAAGCACCGGCUAACUACGUG
rnacentral:rRNA from 1 species